rnacentral:rRNA from 1 species
GGGUGAGAUCAUACUAGCAGUGAUGCACAGGAUCCCAUCAAAACUUCGUAGCUAAGCAUGCUUUGGCGAGAGUAGUACUAGGAUGGGCGACCUCUUAGGAAAUUCUUGUGUUGCACAAU